GUCUCUAUAAAUAAUCCAGAGAUAUCUACACUCUACUCACACUUUACAAACUCUCAACUACACUCAACUGAAAUUAAUAUAUCAACUUUUUGCAUUCGGAUCUUGCGUUGUUUCUCGGCUCUCACAUCAAGGUUUUAAAAUUUUUGUCGGCUUUUCACAUCUCCCUCUUGCAUUGUUGUAAGUUCUUUCAAAUAUGACAUAGUGAAAGGAUAAAUUGUUUUUGUAGUUUUGAUUUUACUUUGUUCUGUUAUAUUUUGAUCUUUUCCUUCAUUUUUGGGACUGAUAAGUGUCAUGGUUGUGUGAUAAUUAUGAUAUUUAGUUUGUUCUGUGGGAUGCUCGAUGAGCAGAUCUAGGGUU
rnacentral:lncRNA from 1 species